GUUUCUUCAGCAGCACCUGUACUAAAAUUGGGAUGACACAGAGAAAAUGAUCACAGCCUCUUCGCAAGGAUGGUAUGCAAAUUCGGAUAGCAUUCUAUGUUUUU